UACGAAGGGGGCUAGCGUUGCUCGGAAUCACUGGGCGUAAAGCGCACGUAGGCGGCUUUCUAAGUCAGGGGUGAAAUCCUGGAGCUCAACUCCAGAACUGCCUUUGAUACUGGCGAUCUUGAGUCCGGAAGAGGUGAGUGGAACUCCUAGUGUAGAGGUGGAAUUCGUAGAUAUUAGGAAGAACACCAGUGGCGAAGGCGGCUCACUGGUCCGGUACUGACGCUGAGGUGCGAAAGCGUGGGGAGCAAACAGG
rnacentral:rRNA from 1 species